rnacentral:rRNA from 1 species
CGUGUAGGCGGUCAGGUAAGUUGGACGUGAGAGCUCCUGGCUCAACUAGGAGAGGUCGUUCGAAACUGCCUGGCUAGAGGGCGACAGAGGGAGGUGGAAUUCCCGGUGUAGUGGUGAAAUGCGUAGAUAUCGGGAGGAACACCAGUGGCGAAGGCGGCCUCCUGGGUCGCACCUGACGCUCAGACGCGAAAGCUAGGGGAGCGAACG